rnacentral:rRNA from 1 species
ACGCUGGCGGCAGGCCUAACACAUGCAAGUCGAGCGGAAACGACACUAACAAUCCUUCGGAUGCGUUAAUGGGCGUCGAGCGGCGGACGGGUGAGUAAUGCCUAGGAAAUUGCCUUGAUGUGGGGGAUAACCAUUGGAAACGAUGGCUAAUACCGCAUAAUGCCUACGGGCCAAAGAGGGGGAUCUUCGGACCUCUCGCGUCAAGAUAUGCCUAGGUGGGAUUAGCUAGUUGGUGAGGUAAUGGCUCACCAAGGCGACGAUCCCUAGCUGGUCUGAGAGGAUGAUCAGCCACACUGGAACUGAGACACGGUCCAGACUCCUACGGGAGGCAGCAGUGGGGAAUAUUGCACAAUGGGCGAAAGCCUGAUGCAGCCAUGCCGCGUGUAUGAAGAAGGCCUUCGGGUUGUAAAGUACUUUCAGUUGUGAGGAAGGGKGURYMGUUAAUAGCKKYAYMUCUUGACGUUAGCAACAGAAGAAGCACCGGCUAACUCCGUGCCAGCAGCCGCGGUAAUACGGAGGGUGCGAGCGUUAAUCGGAAUUACUGGGCGUAAAGCGCAUGCAGGUGGUUCAUUAAGUCAGAUGUGAAAGCCCGGGGCUCAACCUCGGAACUGCAUUUGAAACUGGUGAACUAGAGUGCUGUAGAGGGGGGUAGAAUUUCAGGUGUAGCGGUGAAAUGCGUAGAGAUCUGAAGGAAUACCAGUGGCGAAGGCGGCCCCCUGGACA